GAUAAACAAAUAGAGUAACUUUUAAACUAAUUGAUGAAUCGGUCUCAAAUUUUGAGGGUUUGUUAAGUAUCUCAAUAUCCAACUUUGGGUGAAAUACCAAAGUUUUAGGUUAAUGUUAAUAAUAGUUAUUAACAAAUGAUGAUUUUGCCUUGUUUUGCAGUUUGCGGAGCAACAAAUUGACUUUUUAGCUUUUAAAAAUCGCUAUUUUGAAUGUUCUAGUUCUAAAUUAUAAAAUUUUGUAAUUUUAUGUCACCUAGCUUUUUAAUGGGAUGCAAAAAUCGAAAAAAUGGCGUUUUUCCUUGGCAGGAAGCAGGUAGUUUUGCUUUCUAUAGGUCUACAAUAACUAAAAAAGUUGUCAGAUAGCUGUAUUAUUCAAAGUCCUGAGAAAAAUCUUACUUCCCUGGACCAUAUUUUUUUGGAGUGUUAGUUGUAAUGUCCCUCAUAGAUAGGAACAUAAAUCUACUCAGGGUUAUUGAGAAAACACCAAGUAAUAUAAACGAUUUGAUGUGACGUAUAGAACAUAUAUGUAAACCUUGUCUAUAUAUGGAUUUGUGGGCAUUUUAUUUCUGAAAAAAAAA
rnacentral:lncRNA from 1 species